rnacentral:tRNA from 1 species
UGCGGUAGUUCAGUUGGUUAGAAUACCGGCCUGUCACGCCGUAGGUCGCGAGUUCGAGUCUCGUCCGC